UACGAAGGGGGCGAGCGUUGUUCGGAUUUACGGGGCGUACAGGGAGCGUAGGCGGUUGGAUAAGCCCUCCGUGAAAUCUCCAGGCUUAACCUGGAAAGUGCAGAGGGGACUGUUCAGCUAGAGGAUGGGAGAGGAGCGCGGAAUUCCCGGUGUAGCGGUGAAAUGCGUAGAGAUCGGGAGGAAGGCCGGUGGCGAAGGCGGCGCUCUGGAACAUUUCUGACGCUGAGGCUCGAAAGCGUGGGGAGCAAACAGG
rnacentral:rRNA from 1 species